rnacentral:misc_RNA from 1 species
CUAUAAAUUAGCAGCUGUUUUAGGUUUGACUGAUGACGUCAAAUUAUUAUAGGAAAAAGUCAGUCACACCCUUGAGUGGCUUAAGCAGUGAACCAGUUUUGGUUCUAGUUACUAAUUUAUUAGGUUUUGGGUAGUGUUACUGUUAGGUCGUGGUGUGGACUCGUUUUUAUUUCUUAGUCUUACUCAGUAGAAUUGAGCUAUUUCACUAUGAGUAUGAACUGAAAUAGAGGCCAAACCUGGUUUUAACUCCAAGAGCUGUAAGUGCAAGUUGUAGUUGUAAGUACAAAUCUCGAGUCUUUAACUUGGAUUGCUUUUCAACAAUAAAAUUAAAUUAAAUGGAGGACAAUGUGGAGAUAGAAGAACCAGAAUUAGAGGAAGGUGAGAUUACAGAUGAUAUUCCAAAAACCAAAGAUGAUGAAAAUAAUCAAAAACAUUUAAUGGAUUUGGGCCUAUCCAUCUGUGAAUCUGAAUGUGAUACGAGUAAUAAAAAUAUUAAUAAUAGUAUUAGUACGGUUAGUAAUAGUAAUACUACUACAAGUAGCACUACUAGUACUACCGUUAGUGUUAUUGCACCUGAAAUUGGGGUAAUGCCAAAUGGAGAACUUAAAACUAAGCCUAAUCCUAGAGCUAAGCUAGUUACUCCUUCGAUUAAGCCUAAUGCUAGUACUAAUGCUAAUAGCUGUACAACUUGUUUAGAUAGCACUAGUAGUACUACUAGUCCAAUGGUAAUUCUGGAAAAUCACAUUGAGCUGUUUGGAAAAAAAGAUACAGAUCUUCGUAAAGCAGUUAAGUUAAAAAACGAAAAUGGUAAAACAUGUAUAAAGUCUGUGAGCUCAUUUGUAAGCAUAACAGAAGAUGAAAAUGUAAAAAAUGUAAGCAGCAAAACUUCCAGAUACAGUGAUCAUAAUGCUUACUUUUCUAGAAAGGAUGAUAAACCUAAUGUUCAGCAUAGAUCAUAUACAAAUAGUAAGACACAUACUUUGAAUAAUGUCAGAAGUUCUACCAAUAGUCGAUGGUUUGAGGAAAAGAAACAUUCUGGAGGAAAAAGAUGUAAGGACAUAAACAAAAUGGGUAGCAAUAGUUUACACAGUGUAAGUGAAAGACGAAAUCACACUACUUUCAAUUCAAGAAGAAGAUACACUCAUCAACUGAGGAAGGAUGAUAGGGCCAAUGAAUUUUGCUACAGUUUUAAAGACAAAAGAAUAGACCACGAGGAAGAAAGAAAACCCUAUGAUUUAAUUUCUUCACGUAUUUCAAAAAGAGAGUCAUCACACUUAACUAAACGAUUUCCAGUGUAUGGGAAGAACUUGCAAAAUGAUAGAUCAGCAAAGUUUGACACAAGUAGCAAGAAACAACCAUUGGAUGAAUUUGGAGUCAGCCUUAAAAUCAACUUGCCAUGUUUUCCACAUCAUGAGCACACAAACAAAGGUUCAAGUAAAGAAACCAGCUAUGAAGAUCUUUUGGAACAAUAUAAAAAAAUUCAAAACCAGUUAGAGGACUUGCGUCGUCAAGAGGAAAAAUCAUUCUUGGAAAAUACUAGUAACAAAGAAGCAUGUUCUAAAAAAAGUGACCAGAAUUUUUCAAGAAACCUAUCUCAAAAUCGACAGUAUUCUGCACGAGUCAGUAAGAGAAGGAGAAGGUCAUAUUCAGUCUUAAAAUUGGGCAAAAGAAGUGAGGAUAAGUCAAAGUCUUACAGAUCCAAAGAAUUAGUUGAGAAAAAAACUCCUGUCUGUCAAGAAGAUGAGGAACAUAAAACAGAUGUUUUGUUUGAAGCACCUGUGUCCACAGCAGCUGUUAAAGGGGAUGAAGAAGAAGACGAUGACUUAGAAAGUCUUCGACAAAUAGCCCUACAGUCCUAUUCACGCCAGAUAACAAAAAAAGAGAAUUUCAUCUUGGAAGAUAAAGAUGAAAAACAUGAGAAAGUGGAAAAAAUUGAAGACCAAGAUGAAAAAAGUGACAAACACUUUGCAAAUGCUUCUCAAAUUGCUGAGCUUUCUUGUCCACCACUUCCAUCAUCACCUCCUCCAGAACCACCACCACCACCACCUCCUCCUACACAUCCACCUCCAGAACAGGUAGAGGUGCUGUCAGGUGACAAUUAUGAAAUGGUUGAAAUGGAUAUUGAUAGUUUAAGUGAUGAUGAGUAUAAAGCUUGUGGAAAGCCUUCAGAGAUAGGAACAGGUGCCUACUUAACAAGUGGUGGUUCACAGGAAUGUUCAACUGUAGAUACUGAUGAGGAUGACAUUGAUGAAGUAGCUCUUAGGAAACAACUUCUGAAUACCUUAGCUACGAGAAAAGUGGUGAAAGAAACCAAUUCAAUAAAGAGACCACUGGAUAUUGAAGUUGAAGUUUUCUCUUCUACUGAAAACAGUAAUCAUGUUGAAAAGCCUGUAGAGAAACAUGAUGCAUCAGAGUUAAAAACCUCUGUAGAUAAUAUUGAUGAAAAUGAAGAUAGUUCUUAUGGAUUAUCUACAAAUGUAAAGAAGAAAUACAUACCUGAUCUUCAUUAUCCUGUUCACAAACCUCUGGUAAUCAACCUGGCUGAUGACUCAGAAAGUGACAAUUCAGAUGUUGACUCUGGCUGCAAGACAUAUAAAGUGCCUACAACAAAAUCAGAGAUACCUGCUGGUUUGGAUGAGUUUUUGAAAAUGGCAAGAAUGAAGUCUAAUGUAUCUAAUUCAGACCAGGAUAAUAAUUCUGUGACAGUGUCUAAGUUAUCAGAAGCUCAGCAACAAGAGUACAGAAAACUAAAAGCUGAAAUUGCCAAGAGAGUUCUAACUUCAAAACAGGAUGAAAAUAUUACCAUCUCAACCAGAAAUUCCCUUCCAGAAUAUCAUGGACAACAACAGAAGCAGUUAAUUGGAAAAGCACAUAAGAGGCAUGAAUUGAAUUUAAAAUUUCAUAAGUCUGUAUUACAAGCAGAACAGUCAAAACUAAUAUCACUGAAAAAACGAGCAGAAGAAAAAAAAGCUUCACUUUUGUCUGCCGAAAUCCAAGUUAAAAAACUUCAGGAGCGUGUAAUAGCAGCACAAAGAGUAGUAUCUGCAAAUAAACGCCUGGUUGAUCGAUUAACCUUCCAGAUUAGCAUGGUUGAACGUAAAAUACAGAGUGAAGCUACAAAAGUUGAGGAACUGGAAAGGUUUUUUUGCAGUAACAGUGAUAAAGAUAUUCCUGUAACUGUUCAUGUUUCUGCUUCACAACCCGUGAUGAAAAGAAGAGUAGUUUUUACUGGAAACUUCAAUAAUACUGGAAUAAAAAGACCUCGAUUAAGUUCUCUGUCUAAUCAUACUGAAAAGAAGAUAAAUUCCCAAAGUACCAGACAGAUCUAUAGUGCUGAAGAAUUAGCAGAAAAGAAACGGCAACUUCAGCAGAAGGAAAGAGAGUUAGCUUCACAGCUCAUGCAGAUGAAAUUAAAUAUUCAAAAUAGCUCAUCUUCUACACCAAAUAGUCCUGCCCGCCUGGGCUCUAAACAAAGAAUAGUUGAGGAAAAGAAAAACUCAUGCAACAGGAAAGUAAUUUCAAAUGUUUUGUCCCAACAUGUGACAAGUAAAACAAAUAGUAACUCUGCUAGUCAUAGUAAAGUGAAAAUAGAUGAAGAUGAAAAUAUUACUCCAGUACAAAAUGUUAUGGAUCAAGACAACAAGUCUUUAGUGUCCUGUGAUUCUGUUAACACAUCACCAUUAUUUUCUGAAAAUUUGGAGGCUCAAGCAGCAUCUAAACAACAGUUGGAUAAAUUAAUGCAAAGCUUAAGGGCCAAAAGUGUUUCAGCUCAGAGUAGUUUCAUCUGUCCAACAUUUCUACAUUCUUAUCAGCUGAACCGUUUUUUUUAUCCAAAAAUUUGUCAAGAUGAUGAAGUGAGAGUUCCUUCACAAGAUGAGUCAACUGAUGAUAGUGAAAGACUGAAAUUACGAUCCAACUGGGUUCAUUACAGCAGUCCACUUGUACAUAUGAAGUCAUACAGGCUUAACCCUCAUUUCUCCAAACACAUGUUCCAGGAAUGUAGUAGCUCAACAUACUCAAAUCACAUAAAUCCACUGACCCACUUGUGUCGUUUUGAUCUUCUAGGAACUUGUAAUGAUGAUCAGUGUACAAGACAGCAUGAAGCAAAUUACAAAGUUUUACCUCAAGAUGUUCUCUUGGACUUGCUGUGUUAUUGUCCUAGCUUGUGUGGAGUUUCUGAAAAUGACAGCACAGAAGAUGGUCUAAGUAAAUUAAAAAAGUAUGUUGAAGUAUUCUGUGAAUCUUGUUCAGAUCUGUCAUUAGAGGAGAAGUGUGAAAAACUUGUGAAAAGAAUUAAUGUAGAACUACAAAAUGGGCCAACGAGCUAUGUUAUUCUUCAGAAAAGAAAGUUUCCUCCGAAGCAUUUAAAUAAGAAUUGUAGUGAAUCGGAUGGAACAUUGAAGCUUAAUAUAAGAACAACAGAAGAAAAACUACAGCUAACUAAAACCGAUUAUGAUCCAGAUGCUGUAAUUUUGGAAUCUGAUUCUCGCUAUUUUAAAUCAGAUUGUAAAGGUUUGGCAGGACUUGAGGCUGCAGUUCAUGAAAGUCCUCAUAACAUUCAGCUGUGGUUGAAACUAGCAUAUCACCAUUUUCACAAUCAUACAAGAAAAGAUAUCAGUAACCUUGACCAAGCUCUGAAUAUUCUCUCACGUGGUCUAGAAAGUAACCAAGCUGACCCUGAAUUGUGGAAGCAUUAUCUGACUCUGUAUGCUGAACGUGAUGAGAGUAAAGAUAUUUUACAGCUGUGUCAGCAAGCAUUAAAUUUUUGUCCUCAUUAUGAAGUUUGGUGGAAGUAUCUUCAGUUAGCUGAAGGAUACCAUGAGAAACAGGGUAUCUGCAACGAGAUUCUUCAGUUUUUACUUUUGGAGGAACAGCAAGAAAGGACUGAUACAGAUAAAAGUAUUCGUUCUCAUCAAAUUUUGGAAGUGUUAUUAUUUCAGUCACAAUUAAAUGUGCAAAGUGGACACUACAGAAAUGCUGUAGAUUUCCUGGAGAAAACACUGAGACUUGACAAGCAAGACCAAAAGUCUAAUUUUGAAGAUGAUUUAGAAGAACAAGUGCCCUCAUUGAGAAUAAGUGAUGAAAAUAGGUCUGAAAAUGAAUCUAGUUUUUCAAAUAGCUGUGGUGAACUUUUCAAUAACGAUAGCUCAAUUUUUAUAGAAAAAGAACCUGUAACUGAAAAAAUGUAUGGAGUUAAAGAAAACCUUUCAGGGGAAAAUGUGAUGUCUGAGCAUGAUAUUGGCCAAUGUUCUAGAACUUCUGUUACAAAGGUAUAUAGCCCACUUAGAAAAUUGAUGGUAUCAGAAGACCUUUGCUUAGCUUGGAUGUGUUAUAUUCAUCUUAUUGAAUUUCAUAGCCUCCCAUCUUUUCUUUUUCCUGUUGAACAAGAUGCACCGGGCAGAUUGGGUUGUAAGGAUCCAUUCUUGAUUCCAUGGCAUCACCACUCACCCCUUCAAACAUCCUACAAUUCUCUCUUAAAACUAUUUAAGGAUGCUUUACAGUCUUGUUCCUCUCAGUCAUCAAGGAAAAGGAAUAUUCAAAUAUGCUUACCAUUGUACCAAAACCUGAUCUUUCUAGAAUUAAACUGCAAUAGGUUUAGUUCAGCAGUUUGUAUUUGUCAACGGCUGAUACAAGAGUUCCCAACUAUAGUAGAUCUAUGGUUACUACUGGCAGGAUUGUAUGUGCAAAAGUCAAUGGAUGCUGAAACACGGCAGGUUUUCCAGGAGGCCACAUCCAGUGUAUCUUAUCAUCCUCGCUUAUGUCAUGCAGCAGCACUGUAUGAAAUCAGUAGGAAUAACAAGAAAAAUGCCAAAGAGUAUCUGUAUAACUGUGCAAAGGAAUAUUUUAUUAUACCUCAGGAAGAUAGUAGUUUAGGCUCAUUUUGUCUCCAAGCUGAAGCAUUGUACAGUGAACUGUUGGGUCAGCCAGUUUUUGAAUCACAGCUCCUUCCACAAAGGAACACUGAUAGAGAAUUAUUGGAAGAAGACGUUGGUAGUCUGUGGUUAAAUUACAUAUGCCUUUUACAGUGCCAAGAUGUCAGCAGUGACAAGAUUUCAGAACUGUUUGAAACAGCUAUAGGCUGUGUUAACUCUACAUGUACUUCCAGGGAAAUAUGGUGGGAGUAUUUUUUUUCUCCAAGUUGCCUUAAUUGGAAAGACAUCAAACAAACAAACUGCUGUGAGAGCAUUAACUAAGUUAGCACAUCGCUGUCUGAUAUCCGUAACAACAAAAUUUUCAUUUCCUCAUUUGCCCAGUAAGCAGUGGAAUAACUAUAUUUUCCAUAAUGCAGUUGUGGAUUUGUAUUGCAAGUGUUUGGGUGAUAAGAAAGAAGAAUGUACUGCACUUGAUAUGUUUGUCAGGUGGAUGCCAGCAAACACUGAUUUAUUAGAAAGGACUAUACAGACUCACCUUUUUUUGGGUGACUUAGAUGGUGCAGAUGUGUUGCUGUCACAUACCCUUCCCAGCAAAGUGUCAAGCAAAAGUUUGUGGAAAAUAGCCAUAUAUAUAGCUAUACAAGA